rnacentral:lncRNA from 1 species
CUGAUUUGGACAUUACCAUUGGAUUUGCUCUGAUACCCAUCAAAUGGUGUGUCGGUUUUGAAAAGAUUCAAUACCGACCAAUAGAAAUACAUUCGACUGCUAUCCGCGUACCUCAAACGCAUUAAAAGUUUGAACUAAUCAUUUUCUUCGUCUAUCCGUAUUUCCUAGUUCCUCCUCCUCCUCCUCCAACGGUAAUCUCUCUCAUUCUAUACUGAUAUUUCAUUUACCGAUUUGCCUAGCAACGCUACAGGUUUGAUUCCAUCUUUAUCGCGCGUUCAUGUCUCUGUAUCUUUUGUCUUGAACAAAUUUUCUAUUAGCGCUAGAUUUUCCCCCUUCUUCCCAUCUACUUUUUCUUUCUUAUGUAUUUUAGAUCUGAUUGUUUCAAAAUUUUGUUUAUAUUUGUUAAUUAUUUCUGUGAUUGAAUUUUAUGGUGAUGUUGUGUUGAAGAUGACGUGACGAAUUGAAUGCUGCAAUUGUUUUUGUUUCCAAAAUUUGAUUUAUAACGAUAAACUAAGUUGAGCAUCUUUAUGUUCUAACAAUUAUUCCCGAUUCAUAUUUUUACACGUUUUUGCCUUCGUAUUGCGCACUUCAAUUAGGGAACGGCUACUUCCGCAACAUUUUUCAUAUUUUCCGCAUGUGGGGUCUACCUUUAAAAAAAUAGGUCCCACAUGCAUAAAUAUAAAAAGUGUUGCUAAAAUAUGAGCUCCAACACUUUUUUGACCCAUUUUUUAACCAAAUAUCAAUACUAGUUUGGUUAAAAGAUGGCCCAUCAAUUCCCUUCAAUUAUUCUCCCAAUAAAUUCUCGGUUUCUUAUAAUGGAGUACUCCUCUCUUCCUAAUAUAAAUCGUUUUACAGAAAUAUUUUUAUUUCUUAAUAUAAGUCGUUUGAAAAUUUCAAGUAAGCAUUGAUUGUUUAGUUUCCAAUAUUACCCAAAGUAUUAAAUAUAACUUUGGUUUUCUCACUAUUUUUUGUCUAAUAAAUAACAAUCUCUUAUUUCAAUAUAAGGACAAUAUAGACAAUUGAUAUUAUAGUUAAUGCUAUACAAUCAUUACCUUAAUAUUUGUGUACAACCCUAAAACGACCUAUAUUAAGGAACGGGGGGAGUAUUGUUUUAUGGGGUAAGUGAAAUUGUACAAGGAAGCACUAGAAAUGAAAAUCUUCUAUGCACAAUUGUCAUGAGACUCCCCCUAGUUGAUAUACCUGAUUUAAUUCUGUACAAGAAAGAACCAGCUGUUUGAUUCCACCACGUUUUAGAAUUCUGUACAAGAAACAACCAGCUGUUUGAUUCCACCACGUGAGGUAGAACGAUCAAUUAAUAACCUCAAGGGAUCAAUUUAUACUUUCCUUUGCUUGUAAUGCAAUUUUUUUGCUGUCCUUUUGUUACGUAAUUAGUCAUAAUAUGUCAACCGUAAAUAGCUAGUAGUGGGAAAUUGGAGGGUUCAGAUUAGAUUGGUUCUUAUAAGAUGAAUGACUAUGAAUUAAAGUAGAAUGAAGCCUAUACAUGGCUAAGUAUUUUCUGAGGAUGGGAUAUCAAUGAAUUAACCAAGUUGACUCUAUCUUCUUUUUAGAUUUCUUCUUCUUUCACUAUUUUUUUGGAGUUAUUAUGAGAGACUCAAAUAUCUUGCUAUAAUGGUGCUUUCAUUGUGAGAUUUUAUGGUAGAAUUGAAAGGAAAACAAUCCAUGGAACUGGAAGAAGCUAGUGAUUUCUUGGAUCAAUUGUGGGCUACAAAAAAAGAAACUAACGAGUGCCAAGGGCAAUAGAGAUUCGAGAAUAUGAGUUGGAUCAAUUUGUGAUGAAUUACUUCGUGUAUCAUCAACUGAAUUUGAGAAUUCAUUCUUGGAACUUAAAAGGUGGGUAGAGGUUAGAAAUGAAUAGUUUUUUAAAAGUUUUUAGGCGGCGGAGGUGACGCCUAGCGCCUAUACACCUAGGCCGUCUAGGCAGUGUCUAGAUGUUUUAGUAGGCAGACCAGACAUUUUUUAGGCUAUUUCAUUUAUUUAUUUAUCUAUUGUAUAUACUUGGUAUACUAUCCAAAUUAUAUAAUAGAUGCAAUUUAUUUCAAUUUUACAUGAAUUACUAAAAAAAUAAUCUUUUAAUGUUUAAAAAAUUCAUUUCAAGUAUUGUAGAGUUUCAAAGUAGAGACUUGAUUUUGCCUAAGCGGGGCCUAGGCGCCCAGCCAAAUCGAGGCGGUAGAAGACCGCCUAACACCUACACAGGGAUUAAUUGGACUUAGGCGGAGAUUUUUAAAAUACUAGAACGAAGAGAAAUUUUCUGAUCAAUGGGUUUUGAGCAUCUUUCUUAAAGGAUUGAAUGACGAUUCACAAAAUAUGUUGUGGUCUCCAAAAUCCUUGCAAAGGGCCAUUGUUUUGGCAAAAUGGCAAGAUGCCUUGAAGAUAAGAUGUUUGGCAAAGGUACUGACGAGAACUGGAUACUAACAAGGAAUUUUUUGAAAAAGAAUUGUCGACUGUGGUCAAUCGAAGGAUAGUCGAGUCAAUUAGCUCUACUUGUGCUAGAGGAUUCAACAAUUGGCAUUGUGGAAUUGAUAAAUGCUAGUCAAGCAAAUAAAAUUGUUAAGGAUGCAAAUUAUAAGGACAUAAUAGAAUGCUCAUAUGCCCCUGCUAAGGAAUACAUUGUCAAGCUUAGCCCAAAACCACCAGAUGAGUAUUCUACUCCAAGGUCAAUGGACAGGUCUUUGACGGGAUUAGACAUAUCAGGUGAUGAAGUGGGAAACUCCUAUAAUCAAAGACACAACAGGGGAAGCAAAAUUUUAGGUAUUCAGGAAAAUGUCACAGAUUUGUUAGGUUAUUGCAAAUGUUAUAAAAAAAAUCUUGUUUGAAUCUAAAACAUUUGGGAGGGGUACAUGUUAAUGUUAUUAACUCCAAUCUGAAUUUAAUUGAUGGAUUUGAAGAUGUUUGUUUGGAUAUAGGGAUAAAUACAUCUAUCACGCAUGUUGCGACUCCUUGUGAGGGCAAUAAAGUAGGUGCGCGUGAUGAAGAUUUUUUGACCAUAUCUGUUGAUAUAAAAAGUCGAACUGGGAGUCUUUAUAAAAAUUGUGUUUCCACCACAAAGUAUGUAUUGCCUCAUGCUUUUCCUCAUCCUCCUUCUAAAGGCUAUUUUAUGAUUUUCCACCCAAAUAUUGCAACCAAUGUUUUGAAUAAGCAGGCUGGAAAAUUGCUGGUUAAAAAAUUAUGAUGAAUAUGCUCGACGUGCAACGCUCUAGACAAAAAUUUAUACUCUAGAGCCAAUGCCCAAGCUUAAAUUAGGAAUCUAUUUUUGAGUAAAUGACUACUCCAAAUGUUGACUAGAUGAACACCUUAGUUCUUGGUGUUCAUCAUAGGGAUGCUUUAACAGGUGCUGCAUGUUAUUACUGAAGCUUAAUCCGACUUUGAUUUAGUGGUGAUCGUAAAGCUACCGAAAAGGUAAUUUGGCAUGUUUCUAGAUGAAUUAGGGUUCUUUUAUUACCUUAUACGAGGAGGGGAUCCUUAAUUUUCGAAUACGCACGAAAAUGCACAAAAUUUUAAUAUGGUGAGGCUGAUUUGCUGCAGAUCGAGGAGUAGCCCAACCUUUGGGCGAACCAUUUAAAUUAUGUGUCUUGCGUGUGAUUGUUUGUUUUUUGGUAUCUUCUUACUAUUGUUUUCGCUGCUUUGUUAUUCUCUAACACUACAUUGUCGUCUCUAUUGGCCCUCUCUUCAAAUAUUGUGAUGAUGUUUCAGGUUGAGAAUCUUGCAUAAUUUAAGGAGUUUUACCGUUGGAAAAAGCAUCGGGAGAUAUUUUUAUGAGCUUUUAGAUCCUUCUCACUCAAAAAUCUUUGUCGCGCUAGACUUGUAUAGUUUCACCACUUUUAGCAAUGACGAGAGGGGAAUGCAGUUUCAGUACGAUACAGAUUCAAUGGAUAUUGCAGAUAUUUUCCUCAGUUUCCAUAGCUCGGAAGGAUAUUCAAGUGCAAAUUUUGGCCGUCACUUCAUUUUUAUUUUUGCUAGUUUAGGCAAAAUUUAAAAUUUAUCCCUUUGGCAGGGAUGGAUCCCAAGACCUUCUGAUGCUCAAGAAGUGGACUUAACCACUGUACCAAAGGAGGCUUGGUUGGCCGUCACUUCAUUAAGAUUUAUUAGGGAGCAGAGUUGAGCUAUGGUGCAUAUGGUAUGUUUUGGACCAUGAAAUUGCUGGAACAUGAGAAGUAUAAUGAAGCUACUGGUGAUGGGUUGCAAUGUGCAAAUUCUUAAGAUUUAGUUUUGAUCCAGGGACUAUUAUUGCUAACAACUGGUGAAAGCCCAUAAACGCUCUUAACUUCCACCUUGAGGACAAGGUAAAUUUUGAAGGGGUCUGUAGUGUUUUUCUAUCAAUGAAAGCACCAUUAUAGCAAGAUAUUCGACUCUUUUGGAGUUAUUCUUGCAAUAACUCCAGCAAAACAGUGAGAGAAGAAGAAAUCUAUAGAGAAGAUAUAGCCAACUAGGUUAAUUUGUUGAUAUCUCAUUCUCAAUAAAUACUUAGCCAUAUACAGGUUUCAUUCUACAUUAAAUCCAAGCCAUUCAUCUCAUAAAAACCAAUCUAAUCUCGGCCCUCAAUUUUCCCACUGUAGGUAUUUACAAUUGACAUAUUAUCUGUAACAUCCUUUAUCAUCAAUAAUUUGUUCUUUUUUCGUUUUGGAACUUUGUCCUUGGUGUUGUACUAGUUAAUUAGCUACUUGGGAUGUGAGUAGAUGGAUUUGUUCACAAAUUGUGGCAUUCUGGUUUGGAAUGUAAACCAAUUAAUGGAAGAAUAGUACAACCAUAGUUACGAAGUCUUGUUGACCUAGCGAAUCGCGUAUUGGUACUUAUGGAUCCAAAAAUACUUCUAUGUCCCAAUAAUCUAAAUUUAGUGUAUGACACUCUUUUAUCUCUUUCGCGAACCAAAUCGCAAUUAAGGUAAAACAUUUCAAUUCAAAAAUUAAGUAUAUACCCCCACGUACUAAAGUACCCUCAUGUACCGCGUACCAGGUAAGUUAACGUACCGUGCACCAGAUAAGUUUACAUACCGCAUCGUUGUAUCCGUUCCACCUACUUUAAUGCACUACGAACUUGGCAGAAACCAAGUUUAACAAUGCUGAAGAAUUAAAAUGGGAAUUAGGAGCUUUAGUAGGUGCGUUGAGUAGAGACUCUACUAAAGGUUACAUUUUGUUGGAAUUUUUUGAUUGUAUCCACUGAUAAAGUAGUGUUAUUUGUAUGUGGUCAUGAUGAUAUAUCAUAGGCUGUAGUGCAUCCGCUGUGUAUAUGAUUUGUGAUCUUUUACAAGCUUCGGUUUUACAUUGCUUAUAUAUUUAGUGGAAAAGAAAUUAUUUACUUUCAAUUUGAAAUAUUCUAUUUGUGAUGCAUGGUUGAAAGCAUUUUUCAGUUUCAUCUAAGCUUGGAAAUGGAUUAAAUAUGUUGUGUAUUUAUUUGAAAAUCUCUUUUUUAUCAUGCUUCUGUAUAUGGAGUGAGUUGGUGUAUUUUCUCUGACGUGUAAAUUAGUACUUGACUGAGUAGAAUUGGUCUAUCACUUGUGUCUGCUAUUGGCUGCAUAGGCUAUCCUUAAAUGGUGACUUUGUUUCAUAGUUGGCUGAAAAUGAGAAUACAUAAGCACUAGAUGGUUUCUGACUAAAGGGGUGCUUAUAUAUUAGUUAAUUGGGUUAUAUAUAUAUAUAUAUACACAGCUGUGUAGUAUACAGUCGUGCUAUGACGACGGUUUUUUUGGGCUAUAGCGACGGUUCAACUAUCGCCAUAGACUAGAAUAUCUAUGACGACGAUUCAACCGUCGUCAUAGGCGUGUACUACACAGUUGUGUAUAUACAUUUUUCCCUAGUUAAUUUUGUUUUAUUAACUAUUAAUCUAUUAUGCAAAUUUUGUUUAACACAAACAAUGAUUUUCCAGAUUUUAGGAAAGGCUUUUACAUUUUAUGGCUAUCAGAGCAUUAUGUGAAGAGUCAUCAUUGGAACUGGCCAGGGAGUUGCUUAUCGCCAUCUCUAACUCUGUACCAGAUAAAAUUCUUGAUUCCAUAACAUUUGAAAUAUUAAGCAGCAGGGACGAGGCUGUCCUGAAUAACACUGACAGAACUGACGAUUUCAGGUCCAAGCUGAUUUCAAUUUCUAAUAUCCAGUCUCCAGAUUUUUGCGUGACCAGGUGCAAUGGGCACCCAUGAGGUUGGGUUAUGAUAAUAUGCUUGUUAUGGGAGAUUCUUAUCCGCAACUGUUUAAUAUGUUGUAGAACUCCCUACUAUAUGUGUGAGUCUGUUUCUGCCAGUUUGUUCUGUGUUCUGUUCUUAUGGCAAUGUCAACAUACAAGGAGCUAUUUGUUGUCCGAAAACUUGUACAAAUGUAUGAUUUGAACAUUCUUAUGAAAUCUCUUUUCCGGGAAUUUAAAGUAAAUGCUUGUUUGAUUAUUCCAGUUUCAUAUAUUUAUGUGGAGUUAUAUUGUUUGAUUUGCAAUGUGGUGCUGAAGCUGGUAUCUUAUAUGUUUCUUAGGUUAUAUUAUAGUUAUCUGUUACUGAAGUAAAUUGUUCUUAGGAACCUUGUUUUGUUUGGUGAAAAUUUUGGGAACCAUUGCCUAUGGCCCCUAAUUUUUUUGGUGUUGGUAGUUAUAUUUGAAGUGCAGGAACUAUGGGUAAGAUAAGACUAUUUGUAUUAAUUUAUUAUUACUAGGGAUUAUGUUUGUUUGUAGGAACUAUG